AGUAGUUUGAUCAGUGGCUCAGGACGAACGCUGGCGGCGUGCUUAACACAUGCAAGUCGAACGAGACGAUUUUAAGCUUGCUUAGAUGAGUCGAGUGGCAAACGGGUGAGUAACGCGUAGACAACCUGCCGCAAAGAUGGGGACAACAGUCCGAAAGGACUGCUAAUACCGAAUGUUGUAUCGUUUCCGCAUGGAGAUGAUAUUAAAGAUGGCCUCUACUUGUAAGCUAUCGCUUUGCGAUGGGUCUGCGUCUGAUUAGCUAGUUGGUGGGGUAACGGCCUACCAAGGCGACGAUCAGUAGCCGGUCUGAGAGGAUGAACGGCCACAUUGGGACUGAGACACGGCCCAGACUCC
rnacentral:rRNA from 1 species